UACGGAGGGUGCGAGCGUUGUCCGGAUUUAUUGGGCGUAAAGAGCUCUGAGGCGGCUCGUCGCGUCGACCGUGAAAACCCGCGGCUUAACUGCGGGCUUGCGGUUGAUACGGGCGGGCUAGAGUUCGGUAGGGGAGACUGGAAUUCCUGGUGUAGCGGUGAAAUGCGCAGAUAUCAGGAGGAACACCGGUGGCGAAGGCGGGUCUCUGGGCCGAUACUGACGCUGAGGAGCGAAAGCGUGGGGAGCGAACAGG
rnacentral:rRNA from 1 species